GUGGCCACUUGCUUUGUGUCAAAAAGAUAGGUGUGGGCCAUGGCUACCCACUUGUACUUCAUUCUCACUUCAUUUUAAUUAACCCUUUUUCUUUCCCACUUGCCCACUUCAUGUGCAUCACACACCAAACGACAAAAUAACAUUUUUUUAUUCUAUUUCCAUCUUCAUCCACCAAAUUUCUCAUUUUUUCUUCUUUUAUCAUCUAUAACUUCCUUCCUUUUGGUAUAAUAUUUCUGUUAUUUACCAAGGAUGAUGAUGGCUAUUGUCUUUUGGAAAAAUUCACUUAACUAAUGUUCUGGUAUACCCACAUGACUUUAAUCCCC
rnacentral:lncRNA from 1 species